AUUGAACGCUGGCGGCAUGCUUUACACAUGCAAGUCGAACGGUAGCGCGGGCUUCGGCCUGGCGGCGAGUGGGGAACGGGUGAGUAAUGCAUCGGAACGUGCCCAGUCGUGGGGGAUAGGCCGGCGAAAGGCGGAUUAAUACCGCAUACGCACUGAGGGUGAAAGCGGGGGAGCGAAAGGUCACGCGCUAUUGGCGCGGCCGAUGUCGGAUUAGCUAGUUGGUGGGGUAACGGCUUCCCAAGGCGACGAUCCGUAGCUGGUCUGAGAGGACGACCAGCCACACUGGGACUGAGACACGGCCCAGACUCCUACGGGAGGCAGCAGUGGGGAAUUUUGGACAAUGGGGGCAACCCUGAUCCAGCCAUGCCGCGUGCAGGAAGAAGGCCUUCGGGUUGUAAACCGCUUUUGUUCGGGAGGAAAGCCUCUAGGCUAAUACCCCGGGGGAAUGACGGUACCGGAAGAAUAAGCACCGGCUAACUACGUG
rnacentral:rRNA from 1 species